GAUGAUGACCCUUUCAGUUUUUGGUUAGACAAAGGCCAACCAUCUAAGGUGGAAUCAAAGGGUAUUGGCUAUUACGGAAGGAGUAUUCCAUAGAGAAAAUUAAUCCAGAGAGCACAUAACUUGGCAAAAUGAAAUUCUGGACCAGCAUCACAUGAAAUUGUGAAGGCAUUACUGGACACACAAUCUAGAGUAACUCAAGUGAGCAACAAAGCUGGCAGUGGUGUCGAUGUGUUCACUGCUCUUUCUGGUGCUGUUGGAGCUCUAUAUGGUACACUGCAUGGUGGCGCAAAUGAGGUAAACUUUAUUGAGCUUCCUCCUUGUUGAUGCAUUUAAGCGAUACAUUAUUCAGGAUCUAUUAGUCUUUGUUGUUUAGGAGAAUAGGAACCCAUCUCAUGUACUCACUGCCUUCCGAGACGUAGGGUUUUAUAGCACCCAUGUCGGGUUGCCGUACUUCCGCACCAAGGCCAUAGCACCCAUGUAGCGACGCAUCUUGUCACGUGGACCACCGAUAAAUGUUCCCGGCAACAUUGUACGCUUUCCAAUAGCAUCGGCACUACCCUGAACAUCUGUUGAGCUCACCUAUGAACAUGUGGUAGUCAUAGAGUUAAAAAAAUACUAAAGAUAGUCAUCAAGAUGAUGAUUGCCUUGACAUGCAUUAACAUCAUUUUUGAACGGUAUCAUAGAGUUAAA